GAUACAUGUAUAGGCACAUGUAUAAAGAUUUGAUAGUUACAUUAAUACCAAGAAUCUAAGUGUAUUAUUUAGACGAACAAUUGGUGCAAUGCAGGGGUGGUGAGUGCAUAAUGGUAAAAAAAUGUGGGUAGGGAUGAAUGUAAUUUACCUUGUCUUGCUUGAAAUCUACUCUAUGCAUUCUCAUCUAUGAUAACUACUGCAAGCAAAUUAGGGUACAUACUGAACAAAUGGGGCUGAAUCUAGCUUCUUGUAGAGAUGAUAUGCUUCAGUACCACAGAUGUCUUCUAUACGGCCGUAAAGCAGCUUGAGGGCACAUACAGGUUGUUGUCUAUUUCCUUUAUUAAGUUCAAACUCCUGUGAAAUUUUAUAUUUUUUAUUCUUUAGCAUUUUGACCUGUUUUCUAAUUGGCAACUAUAUAUAGUGUUCAACUCAGAUAUUUAUUUUACUUAUAUGGAAACAAGUUUCUGCUUUGUCACGACAUGGCAGGGCCUUGGCAAGUGGUCUGGUAGUGCAGAUCCACCCAUCUUCUGUAUUAUUCAGGCAAAAACUAGAGUGUAUUAUUUUUAAUGAACUUGUUCAAACUAGUAGCAAGUACGUUCGGAAACUAAGCAAUAUUGACUACCUACGGUUAAUUGAGCUGGCUCCUCAAUAUUAUGCUGUGAAAAAUUAAAUUCUUCAUGGUUUUGCCAAAUAGGACAUUUAUCUAUUACAGCAAGAUCAAUGAAAGCUUUAGAAUAUGUCUACUUUAUCGAUGUUGCCUAUUGACUUUAUAUAAAUGACAACAGUUUUAAUGGCUUGUCUUUGCUAUCAUUACUUGUCUAAAACUAUGGAAAUGCGGCUUGAUCCUCCAAUGACAUACACCUCUUACUGAGUUGUUCCUGCUUUAUUUUCUACCACUGGGUGGUUACUGAGUGAUGUAAUUGCAAACCUUACUGUCGAUAGCUACAUUUGAGGUGGUGGAUUAGCUUGAGCAAAGGAAUUGAGUUAGACCAGUUAACAAAUAUUUUGAACUGUCCAAUUCUAUCAAACUUUAGGUGCUAGUGGUAUUAUGUAGAUGCCUAUUUGUCUAACUUAUGAGUUCAAUAAUCAUUGUGUAAAGCUAUUUUUUUCUAGAUCUGCAUAUUUAUCUAAUGUUGUAUAUUAAUUUUAA